rnacentral:rRNA from 1 species
UACAUAGGGUGCAAGCGUUAUUCGGAAUUAUUGGGCGUAAAGGGCGCGUAGGCGGUUUUUUAAGUCGGAUGUGCAAUCCCUGGGCUCAACCCAGGAACUGCAUCCGAGACUGGAAGGCUAGAGUACUGGAGAGGGUGGUGGAAUUCCUCGUGUAGCGGUGAAAUGCGUAGAUAUCGGGAGGAACAUCAGUGGCGAAGGCGGCUCUCUGGACCAAAACUGACACUGAGGCGCGACAGCGUGGGGAUCAAACAGG